rnacentral:rRNA from 1 species
AUUGAACGCUGGCGGCAUGCCCUACACAUGCAAGUCGAACGGCAGCACGGGAGCAAUCCUGGUGGCGAGUGGCGAACGGGUGAGUAAUACAUCGGAACGUGCCCAGUCGUGGGGGAUAACGUAGCGAAAGUUCCGCUAAUACCGCAUCCGAUCUAUGGAUGAAAGCGGGGGAUCGCAAGACCUCGCGCGAUUGCAGCGGCAGGUGGCAGAUUAGGUUGUUGGUGGGGUAAUGGCUUACCAAGCCUCCGAUCUGUAGCUGGUCUGAGAGGACGAUCAGCCACACUGGGACUGAGACACGGCCCAGACUCCUACGGGAGGCAGCAGUGGGGAAUUUUGGACAAUGGGCGAAAGCCUGAUCCAGCAAUGCCGCGUGAAGGAUGAAGGCCUUCGGGUUGUAAACUGCUUUUGUACGGAACGAAAAGCCCCGGGUUAAUACCCUGGGGUCAUGACGGUACCGUAAGAAUAAGCACCGGCUAACUACGUGCCAGCCGCCGCCGUAA